rnacentral:rRNA from 1 species
UACGUAGGGGGCAAGCGUUGUCCGGAAUUAUUGGGCGUAAAGCGCGCGCAGGCGGUCCUUUAAGUCUGAUGUGAAAGCCCACGGCUUAACCGUGGAGGGUCAUUGGAAACUGAGGGACUUGAGUACAGAAGAGGAGAGUGGAAUUCCACGUGUAGCGGUGAAAUGCGUAGAGAUGUGGAGGAACACCAGUGGCGAAGGCGACUCUCUGGUCUGUAACUGACGCUGAGGUGCGAAAGCGUGGGUAGCAAACAGG